GACGAACGCUGGCGGCGUGCCUAAUACAUGCAAGUAGAACGCUGAAGGAGGAGCUUGCUUCUCCGGAUGAGUUGCGAACGGGUGAGUAACGCGUAGGUAACCUGCCUGGUAGCGGGGGAUAACUAUUGGAAACGAUAGCUAAUACCGCAUAACAGUAGAUAUCGCAUGAUAUCUGCUUGAAAGUUGCAAUUGCAUCACUACCAGAUGGACCUGCGUUGUAUUAGCUAGUUGGUGAGGUAACGGCUCACCAAGGCGACGAUACAUAGCCGACCUGAGAGGGUGAUCGGCCACACUGGGACUGAGACACGGCCCAGACUCCUACGGGAGGCAGCAGUAGGGGAUCUUCGGCAAUGGACGGAAGUCUGACCGAGCAACGACGCGUGAGUGAAGAAGGUUUUCGGAUCGUAAAGCUCUGUUGUAAGAGAAGAACGAGUGUGAGAGUGGAAAGUUCACACUGUGACGGUAUCUUAACAGAAAGGGACGGCUAACUACGUG
rnacentral:rRNA from 1 species